CUUUAUUUUUAGUAUACUAAAGAAAAAUUUUUGAUUGUUAUAGUUAAUUAGUACUGUGAAGGAAUAUGAUUAAAUAUUUUAAAUUUCAUUUUUUAUAAGUAUGAUUUAUUUUCAGUACCUUUUGUAUCAGGGUUAAUUUAAUUGUUUAAUUUAUUUUUAGUUCUCGAUUUUGAGGGAGCUAAAUUUUUAUUUUAGUUAAUGUGGCAAAAUUAUUAAAAAUAAUUUUUAGUGAAGAAAUUUUAUUCGGCCUUGAAGGUAUCUAGUUUUUUAAGAAUUAAAUUUAAUUUAUUUUUGUUAUGUAAUUAUUUUAUUUAUAUUAUUAAUUAUUUAACAAAUUAAAUAUUAUAGGGGAUAAGCUCUGUAUUUUUUUAUAAAAUUUUGUAGUUAAUAAAUUUUUGUAGGUUUAAAAUUAUCCAUCAUUAAUGAGUGUGUUAUAAUUUAUUUUUAUUAUUAAUUGAUUUAAGGGUUUUUAAUUUUUUAUUAAAAUAUCAUAAUUAAUUUAUUAUUUUGAGUAAUAAUGAUUAAAUUAGUAUAAUUUGUUGUUUAUAAUUCUAUAAAUUUUAUUAUAAAAUAAGGAACUCGGCAAAUAUAGUUCUCGCCUGUUUAACAAAAACAUGUCCUUUUGAUUUUAAUAUAAGGUCUGACCUGCCCAGUGAUUACAUUUAACGGCCGCGGUAUAUUGACCGUGCAAAGGUAGCAUAAUCAUUAGUCUUUUAAUAGAGGGCUGGAAUGAAAGGUUUAACGAGGAACUACCUGUCUCAUUUUAUUUGGGUUAAAAUUUAAUUUUUUAGUUAAAAAGCUAAAAUUUUUUUGGAAGACGAGAAGACCCUAUAGAUCUUUAUAUUAUUUUAUUUAAUUUUUUAUAUAUAAGUAUUUUUAAAUAAAAUUUUAUUUUGUUGGGGUGACAAAAAUAUAUUAUUAACUUUUUUAUUUAUCUAUCAUUGAUUUAUGAAUUUUUGAUCCAUUAUUAUUGAUUAUUAGAGUAAGUUACCUUAGGGAUAACAGCGUAAUCCUCCUCCAGAGUUCAUAUUUACGGGAAGGGCUUGCGACCUCGAUGUUGGAUUAAGAUUAUAAUUAGGUGUAGCUGCUUAAUUAAUAGGUCUGUUCGACCUUUAAAUUCUUACAU
rnacentral:rRNA from 1 species